GGGGUUGUGGCCUAAUGGUAAGGCGUUGGUUUUCGGUAGUAUUAUUAGGAAUCCACCAAAGAUUGCAGGUUCGAGUCCUGUCAGCCUCG